rnacentral:rRNA from 1 species
GCUAGUAAUGGCAGGUCAGCAUACUGCCGUGAAUACGUUCCCGGGCCUUGUACACACCGCCCGUCACACCAUGGGAGUUUGUAACACCCGAAGUCAGUAUCCUAACCGCAAGGGGGAGCUGCCGAAGGUGGGAUAAGCGACUGGGGUGAAGUCGUAACAAGGUAGC